rnacentral:rRNA from 1 species
CUACGGGACGCUCCAGGCGCGAAACCUUUACAAUGCACGAAAGUGUGAUAAGGGGAUCCCAAGUGCCUUGCUUUUAGCAAGGCUUUUGUUAUGUGUAAAUAGCAUGACGAAUAAGUGGUGGGCAAUACCUGUGCCAGCCGCCGCGGUAACCCAGGAGCCACAAGUGGCAACCACUUUUAUUGGGCCUAAAGCGUCCGUAGCCGGUCUGGUAAAUUUCCUGUGAAAUCGUUGGGCUUAACCUAACGUCGUGCAGGAAAGACUACUAGGCUAGGGACCGGGAGGCGUCAGAGGUAUUCCUGAGGGAGCGGUAAAAUGCUAUAAUCUCAGGAGGACCCCCUGUGGCGAAGGCGUCUGACGAGAACAGAUCCGACGGUGAGGGACGAAAGCUAAGGGAGCAAACCGGAUUAGAUACCCCUGUAGUC